UCAAGGGUACCUGGUAUCCGCGUGUCUUCUCACGGGGGACGGUGACUUCCGUCUUGAAUAGAGUGGUGUCUUCCAGGUUUUCCACUUGAGAGUGACUAUGUCCUACUGUAACCACUAAAUCCACCGGAUGUGAUGCUAAUCUCCCAUUAGCCACCAGCAUCCAACAGCUGUUCACACCGACCGUUUGCAGCUCAUCACGCUGCCCUUCGUACCGCACACGAGUGUCUCUUCACUGCCUGACCUUGUCUUUUUCCCAAUGUCACUAUUCAUAGAUGUAAACAUUUGGUGACGGAGUUCAUUCUGAUUCUAAAUCCAGUUUCUGGGGGCGCCUGGGGGGGCUCCAUGGGUUAAGCCUCUGCCUUCGGCUCAGGUCAUGAUCCCAGGGUCCUGGGAUGGAGCCCGGC